AUUUAUUGGGCGUAAAGAGAAUGUAGGCGGUUUAUUAAGUUUGAAGUGAAAGCCCUCGGCUCAACCGAGGAAGUGCUUCGAAAACUGGUAAACUUGAGUGCAGAAGAGGAAAGUGGAACUCCAUGUGUAGCGGUGGAAUGCGUAGAUAUAUGGAAGAACACCAGUGGCGAAGGCGGCUUUCUGGUCUGUAACUGACGCUGAGAUUCGAAAGCAUGGGUAGCAAACAGGAUUAGAUACCCUGUAGUCCAUGCCGUAAACGAUGAGUGCUAAGUGUUGGAGGGUUUCCGCCCUUCAGUGCUGCAGCUAACGCAUUAAGCACUCCGCCUGGGGAGUACGAUCGCA
rnacentral:rRNA from 1 species